rnacentral:rRNA from 1 species
UACGUAGGUGGCAAGCGUUGUCCGGAUUAUUGGGUUUAAAGGGUGCGUAGGCGGCCCACUAAGUCAGUGCUGAAAUAUCCCGGCUUAACCGGGAGGGUGGCAUUGAUACUGGUGGGCUUGAGUACAGAUGAAGUAGGCGGAAUUGACGGUGUAGCGGUGAAAUGCAUAGAUAUCGUCAAGAACACCGAUAGCGAAGGCAGCUUACUAAGCUGUAACUGACGCUGAGGCACGAAAGUGUGGGGAUCAAACAGG